rnacentral:rRNA from 1 species
GGAUGAACGCUAGCUACAGGCUUAACACAUGCAAGUCGAGGGGCAGCAUGAACUUAGCUUGCUAAGUUUGAUGGCGACCGGCGCACGGGUGAGUAACACGUAUCCAACCUUCCGUUUACUCAGGGAUAGCCUUUCGAAAGAAAGAUUAAUACCUGAUAGUAUGGUGAGAUUGCAUGAUAGCACCAUUAAAGAUUUAUUGGUAAACGAUGGGGAUGCGUUCCAUUAGGUAGUAGGCGGGGUAACGGCCCACCUAGCCGACGAUGGAUAGGGGUUCUGAGAGGAAGGUCCCCCACAUUGGAACUGAGACACGGUCCAAACUCCUACGGGAGGCAGCAGUGAGGAAUAUUGGUCAAUGGGCGAGAGCCUGAACCAGCCAAGUAGCGUGAAGGAUGAAGGUCCUACGGAUUGUAAACUUCUUUUAUACGGGAAUAAAGUAUCCUACGUGUAGGAUUUUGUAUGUACCGUAUGAAUAAGCAUCGGCUAACUCCGUGCCAGCAGCCGCGGUAAUACGGAGGAUGCGAGCGUUAUCCGGAUUUAUUGGGUUUAAAGGGAGCGCAGACGGGAGAUUAAGUCAGUUGUGAAAGUUUGCGGCUCAACCGUAAAAUUGCAGUUGAUACUGGUUUCCUUGAGUGCAGUUGAGGCAGGCGGAAUUCGUGGUGUAGCGGUGAAAUGCUUAGAUAUCACGAAGAACCCCGAUUGCGAAGGCAGCUUGCUAAACUGUAACUGACGUUCAUGCUCGAAAGUGUGGGUAUCAAACAGGAUUAGAUACCCUGGUAGUCCACACGGUAAACGAUGGAUACUCGCUGUUGGCGAUAUACUGUCAGCGGCCAAGCGAAAGCAUUAAGUAUCCCACCUGGGGAGUACGCCGGCAACGGUGAAACUCAAAGGAAUUGACGGAA